AGAGUUUGAUCCUGGCUCAGGAUGAACGCUGGCGGUAUGCUUAACACAUGCAAGUCGAACGGUGUCUUCGGACACAGUGGCGGACGGGUGAGUAACGCGUGAGAAUCUGGCUUCAGGUCUGGGACAACCACUGGAAACGGUGGCUAAUACCGGAUGUGCCGAGAGGUGAAAGGUUAACUGCCUGAAGAUGAGCUCGCGUCUGAUUAGCUAGUAGGUGUGGUAAAGGCGCACCUAGGCGACGAUCAGUAGCUGGUCUGAGAGGACGAUCAGCCACACUGGGACUGAGACACGGCCCAGACUCCUACGGGAGGCAGCAGUGGGGAAUUUUCCGCAAUGGGCGAAAGCCUGACGGAGCAAUACCGCGUGAGGGAGGAAGGCUCUUGGGUCGUAAACCUCUUUUCUCAGGGAAGAACACAAUGACGGUACCUGAGGAAUAAGCAUCGGCUAACUCCGUGCCAGCAGCCGCGGUAAUACGGAGGAUGCAAGCGUUAUCCGGAAUGAUUGGCGUAAAGCGUCCGCAGGUGGCGAUGUAAGUCUGCUGUUAAAGAGUGAGGCUCAACCUCAUAAGAGCAGUGGAAACUACAUAGCUAGAGUACGUUCGGGGCAGAGGGAAUUCCUGGUGUAGCGGUGAAAUGCGUAGAGAUCAGGAAGAACANNAGUGGCGAAGGNNGCUCUGCUAGGCCGUAACUGACACUGAGGGACGAAAGCUAGGGGAGCGAAUGGGAUUAGAUACCCUAGUAGUCC
rnacentral:rRNA from 1 species